rnacentral:rRNA from 1 species
GCGAACGCUGGCGGCAUGCUUAACACAUGCACGUCGCGCGGGUGGUUUCGGCCAUCAGCGGCGGACGGGUGAGUAUCGCGUAGGAAUGUAUCCCGAGGUGGGGGACAACCCUGGGAAACUGGGGCUAAUACCGCAUGGGGCCUGUGGGUCAAAGCCUUAGGGCGCCUUGGGAGCAGCCUGCGUCCGAUUAGGUAGUUGGUGGGGUAAAGGCCUACCAAGCCUGCGAUCGGUAGCUGGUCUGAGAGGACGAUCAGCCACACUGGGACUGAGACACGGCCCAGACUCCUACGGGAGGCAGCAGUGGGGAAUAUUGGACAAUGGGCGCAAGCCUGAUCCAGCAAUGCCGCGUGGGUGAAGAAGGUCUUCGGAUUGUAAAGCCCUUUCGGCGGGGACGAUGAUGACGGUACCCGCAGAAGAAGCCCCGGCUAACUUCGUG